rnacentral:lncRNA from 1 species
GGAAGGGGAAUAUUUGGCUUGAUUUUCCCUGGUUGUCGUGAGACAUAUGAAGAACCACAGGAACAAGAACAAGGGCAAGGUCCUAGGCCACAAGACCGUCACCAAAAGGUGGAACACUUCAGAGAAGGUGACAUAAUAGCAGUGCCUACUGGUGUUCCUUUCUGGAUGUACAACAAUGAACAAACUCCUGUUAUUGCUAUUACUCUUAUUGACACCACUAACCUUGAUAACCAACUCGACCAGAUUCCUAGGGUAAUAACUAACUAUUCACUUUGUAUGUAACAUGAAAUAAUCAUAGUAAAAAAUUUCAUGACAUGUGUAUUAUAUACUUGACAGAGAUUCUAUCUUUCUGGUAACCAAGAACAAGAGUUUCUACAAUAUCAACAGAAAGAAGGAGGACAAGGGCAACAACAAGAGGGAGGAAAUGAAGGUGGUAAUGUUCUGAGUGGCUUCAAUGAUGAAUUCCUAGAAGAAGCUUUCAGUGUUGAUAGGGAGAUAGUGAGAAACAUAAAAGGUAAGAAUGAUGAUAGAGAAGGAAGCAUUGUGGAAGUGAAAGAAGGUCUCAAAGUUAUAAGCCCUCCAACAUUGCGACCAAGACAAGGAAGAGAGGAAGAAGAAGAAGAAGAAGAAGAGGAGGAGGAAAGGAGAGGAGAUCGUCGUCGCCACCGCCCCCACCACCAUGAAGAGGAGGAGGAGGAAGAGGAAUGGAGCCACCAAGUAAGGAGAGUUCGUCGCCCUCACCACCACCGUGAAGAUAGAAACGGACUUGAGGAGACACUUUGCACAUUGAAACUUCGCCACAACAUUGGUCAAUCUACAUCUCCUGAUGCAUACAACC